rnacentral:rRNA from 1 species
GAACCUUUACUAUAGCUUGACACUGAACAUUGAGCCUUGAUGUGUAGGAUAGGUGGGAGGCUUUGAAGUGUGGACGCCAGUCUGCAUGGAGCCGACCUUGAAAUACCACCCUUUAAUGUUUGAUGUUCUAACGUGGACCCGUAAUCCGGGUUGCGGACAGUGUCUGGUGGGUAGUUUGACUGGGGCGGUCUCCUCCUAAAGAGUAACGGAGGAGCACGAAGGUUGGCUAAUCCUGGUCGGACAUCAGGAGGUUAGUGCAAUGGCAUAAGCCAGCUUGACUGCGAGCGUGACGGCGCGAGCAGGUGCGAAAGCAGGUCAUAGUGAUCCGGUGGUUCUGAAUGGAAGGGCCAUCGCUCAACGGAUAAAAGGUACUCCGGGGAUAACAGGCUGAUACCGCCCAAGAGUUCAUAUCGACGGCGGUGUUUGGCACCUCGAUGUCGGCUCAUCACAUCCUGGGGCUGAAGUAGGUCCCAAGGGUAUGGCUGUUCGCCAUUUAAAGUGGUACGCGAGCUGGGUUUAGAACGUCGUGAGACAGUUCGGUCCCUAUCUGCCGUGGGCGCUGGAGAACUGAGGGGGGCUGCUCCUAGUACGAGAGGACCGGAGUGGACGCAUCACUGGUGUUCGGGUUGUCAUGCCAAUGGCACUGCCCGGUAGCUAAAUGCGGAAGAGAUAAGUGCUGAAAGCAUCUAAGCACGAAACUUGCCCCGAGAUGAGUUCUCCCUGAGACUUAGAGUCUCCUGAAGGAACGUUGAAGACGACGACGUUGAUAGGCCGGGUGUGUAAGCGCAGCGAUGCGUUGAGCUAACCGGUACUAAUGAACCGUGAGGCUUAACCUUACA